CAGACUAUACGUUCAGGGAUCAUCUCUAUAGCUCGUUACUAGAGGAGUUUCUCUGUGUAGAGCACCAGAAACCACAAGGAGGAGGUGCAGUGUUCUCUCCUGAGCCUGAAGCCGGCUGGGGUGCUGCUACUGGCAGCUGCCUUUUCCCACUGAUGAUUGUUCUGCUCUGCCUCUGGCAGAGUUAGAGGGGGAAAGGACAAUCUGAGUGGC
ensembl:snoRNA U3 Small nucleolar RNA U3